AUUGAACGCUGUCGGCAGGCCUAACACAUGCAAGUCGAGCGGAGCGGCGGACGCGUGAGUAAUGCCUAGGAAUCUGCCUGGUAGUGGGGGUUAACGUCCGGAACCGGGCGCUAAUACUGCAUACUAUCAGAUGAGCCUAGGUCGGAUUAGCGAGUGGGUGGGGUAAAGGCCUACCAAGGCGACGAUCCGUAACUGGUCUGAGAGGAUGAUCAGUCACACUGGAAGUGAGACACGGUCCAGGGUGCUGCGGGAGGCAGCAGUGGGGAACAGUCCACAAUGGGCGCAAGCCUGGUGCAGCCAUGCCGCGGGUAUGAAGAAGGCCUUCGAGGUGUAAGAUACUUUCAGCGUGGAGGCGUUACCCGCAGAAGAAGCACCUGCUAACUCCGUGCCAGCAGCCGCGGUAAUAC
rnacentral:rRNA from 1 species